rnacentral:rRNA from 1 species
AUCGCCCGGGAACUACGAGCAAAGCUUAAAACCCAAAGGACUUGACGGUACCCCACAUCCACCUAGAGGAGCCUGUCCUAUAAUCGAUAACCCCCGCUUAACCUCACCAUUUUUAGCCUAUCAGCCUGUAUACCUCCGUCGCCAGCUUACCACGUGAGCGACCCUCAGUGAGCUUAAUGUUUAUACACCAACACGUCAGGUCAAGGUGCAGCAGAUAAAAUGGGAAGAGAUGGGCUACACUCUCUAUUCUAGAAAAUACGGAAGACUAUUUAUGAAACCUAGUCAAAAGGCGGAUUUAGUAGUAAAAAGAGACAAGAGUGCUCUUUUUAACAUGGCACUGGGGUGUGUACACACCGCCCGUCACCCUCUUCAAAGCUAAUAUAAAGUCCCUAACACACCUAAGCACCACAGAAGAGGCAAGUCGUAACAUGGUAAGUAUACCGGAAGGUGUGCUUGGAAA